rnacentral:rRNA from 1 species
UACAGAGGGUGCGAGCGUUGUCCGGAAUCACUGGGCGUAAAGGGCGCGUAGGUGGUGGCUUAAGCGUGCGGUGAAAGCUCGGGGCUCAACUCCGAGUCGGCCGUGCGAACUGGGCUCACUGGAGCAUAGUAGAGGCAGGUGGAAUUCCGGGUGUAGCGGUGGAAUGCGUAGAGAUCGGGAGGAACACCAGAGGCGAAGGCGGCUAGCUGGACAGUGACUGACACUCAACUACGAAAGCGUGGGGAGCAAACAGG